rnacentral:rRNA from 1 species
GCUGAACUUAAGCAUAUCAAUAAGCGGAGGAAAAGAAACUAACUAGGAUUCCCUUAGUAGCGGCGAGCGAACCGGGAUCAGCCCAACUUGUAAAUCAUUAGCCAUUGGCUAAUUGAAUUGUAGUCUCAAGAUGCGUUCUCUGCGGCGAGUAGUGCCCAAUUUUCCUUGGAAAAGGGAGUCAGAGAGGGUGAGAACCCCGUCGGCACUUGCUUCAGCUGCUCCACGAGGCGCUUUCUCAGAGUCGGGUUGCUUGGGAAUGCAGCCCUAAGUAGGUGGUAAAUCCCAUCUAAGGCUAAAUACUGACGGGAGACCGAUAGCGAACAAGUACCGUGAGGGAAAGAUGAAAAGAACUUUGAAAAGAGAGUCAAAAGUGCUUGAAAUUGUUGAGGGGGAAGGAAUUGAAAGCCGUUUGUGCUCCCGGGCUUAAGUGGGCAAUUCUGCCUUUUGUACGCUCUGGGAGCCGGUCAGCAUCGGCUGCCGGACCGGGAUAACAACUUUCCUUCAGGGGAGUGCAUGCCGGCCUAGUGGCUGAGGAAUUGAAAGGUGCUCUUUGAGUCCUUCGGGAACUGCACCUUCAAGAUGCUGGCAGAAGGCCUUCAAUUCGCCCGUCUUGAAACACGGACCAAGGAGUCUAACAUGUAUGCGAGCCGGUGGGUUUAACACCCAUGAGACGCAAGUAACCUGACUGGUGGGAGGGUUUAUUCCUGCACCAUCGACCGACCAUGAUCUUCUGUGAAAGGUUUGAGUACGAGCAUACCUGUUGGGACCCGAAAGAUGGUGAACUAUGCCUGAGCAGGGCGAAGCCAGAGGAAACUCUGGUGGAGGCUCGUAGAUGUGCUGACGUGCAAAUCGCUUUUCUGAACUUGGGUCGUUAGGUCAGGCAAGAACCACACCCAGCGGCACCAAGAAC